rnacentral:rRNA from 1 species
UGGGGAAUUUUGGACAAUGGGCGAAAGCCUGAUCCAGCAAUGCCGCGUGAGUGAAGAAGGCCUUCGGGUUGUAAAGCUCUUUUGUCAGGGAAGAAACGGUGAGAGCUAAUAUCUCUUGCUAAUGACGGUACCUGAAGAAUAAGCACCGGCUAACUACGUGCCAGCAGCCGCGGUAAUACGUAGGGUGCAAGCGUUAAUCGGAAUUACUGGGCGUAAAGCGUGCGCAGGCGGUUUUGUAAGUCUGAUGUGAAAUCCCCGGGCUCAACCUGGGAAUUGCAUUGGAGACUGCAAGGCUAGAAUCUGGCAGAGGGGGGUAGAAUUCCACGUGUAGCAGUGAAAUGCGUAGAUAUGUGGAGGAACACCGAUGGCGAAGGCAGCCCCCUGGGUCAAGAUUGACGCUCAUGCACGAAAGCGUGGGGAGCAAACAGGAUUAGAUACCCGGGUAGUCCCUGAGCGGGCUGGCAAGGCGCAU